rnacentral:rRNA from 1 species
UACGUAGGGGCCUAGCGUUGUCCGGAUUUAUUGGGCGUAAAGAGCUCGUAGGCGGCUUGGUAAGUCAGGUGUGAAAUCUCCACGCUCAACGUGGAGGGGCCACCCGAAACUGCCAUGGCUUGAGUCCGGUAGGGGAGUGUGGAAUUCCCGGUGUAGCGGUGAAAUGCGCAGAUAUCGGGAGGAACACCCGUAGCGAAGGCGGCGCUCUGGGCCGGUACUGACGCUGAGGAGCGAAAGCGUGGGGAGCGAACAGG